rnacentral:misc_RNA from 1 species
AACGCACAUUGCGCCCGCCAGUAUUCUGGCGGGCAUGCCUGUCCGAGCGUCAUUUCAACCCUCAGGCCCCCAGUGCCUGGUGUUGGGGAUCGGCGUCGGCGUUCCCGUUCGCGGGUCCGCUGCCGUCCCCGAAAAACAGUGGCGGUCUCGCUGUAGCCCUCCUCCGCGUAGUAGCACAACCUCGCGGCCUGGAGCUCGGCGGUGGCCAUGCCGUAAAACACCCCACUUCUGAAAGUUGACCUCGGAUCAGGUAGGAAUACCCGCUGAACUUAA